CGUCAAGUACUGGCAGCACCAAGGAGGGUGGGGAAAGAGGCGGGGAGAAAUGGCGCGCUCUAGUGACGUCAUCACGCUAGACCGGGCCGCAGGAACCGCCCCUCCUUUCCUGCUCCGGGAUGAUUAGCUUCCAAGGAAGCAGUCAUGGUCACAGGUCCACUGAAUGCCCCUCUGCUCAGGCUCCACAUAGCAGCCCAGCCUGCGAUCAUGGAUUAGCUUAUGAGCUCAGAAGGGCAGAGGCAGAGAAGAACAGAAAGACAGCUGGAAGAAACGGGAAGAUUUGGGAAAGUGCUCACAAUUAUAACAUUAGGUGUGUGGUGCUUUCCAUAACUGACAGAAAAAGGAUGAAACAACAUGGAAGUCAGCAUCCCAGAGCCAGUCACUGAUCUGCUCUAUGGGGACAGAUCCUGAAUAGGACAGAACUCAGCGUAGUCUCAGCUCUCGUAGUUACUAAUGUCCCUGGGCUUUUAACCUCUGAACUCCAGUCUUCACUUCUCUUUUUCUUUUCUGGUGUGUGUGUGUGUGUGUGUGUGUGUGUGUGUGUGUGUGUGUGUGUGUGUGUGUUUAGAGUAGCCAGAGGAGGGUGUUGAAUGUCCUUCUCUGUUAUUCUUGCCUUAUUCCCUUAAUACAGGGUUUCUCGCUGAAACUGGAGUUUGCUGUUUUGGCUAAAUUGUCUGGUCAGCUAACCCAGCUGUCCUGUCUCUGCUUCCCAUAAUGUUAGGGCUUCAGGCAAACAGACAGCUACAUCAAGCUUUUUACAUAGGUGCCGGGGAUCUGAACCCAGGUCCUCAUGCCUGUGUGGUAAGCAUUCUUACCCUCUAAGCCAUUUUCCUGCUGCCCCUACAUGCUUACAUGGUUAUAAAGUCUCACAGGGUUUCACUGAGAAGGAAACAUGAUGCUGUCUGGGAAAGCUCUUGGGAAAGUGGAGAACUUGGGUGUUUUAAGUCAUGUAUGGAAGAUGGAAUAAGGUGGAACAAGGGUUGCACCUCUUUCCCCGGAGUUCAGCCCCCACCCCCACAGCAAGGUAAGGCUUCUCUGUGUAGCCCCGGCUAUCCCGGAACUCGCUUUGUAGACCAGGGUUGAUUUGGACUAGAGCUCUGCCUGCCUCUGCCUUCUGAGUAGAUAUUAAAGGUGUGCGCCACCAUGCCUGGCUGGCCUCAGCUUAUGGAUUGCUCUAGUGACUCUGCCAUUUCUUGCACUUUGACUUGAGUUGUUUAGCUAGUGGUUACUGUGUAGUCCAUAUAUCCAGAGCUGAGCUCAACUGGACUGUAGAAGGGUUUCUGGCAGUUGCUAUAACCCAGUUUCGGUUCAGAUCCAUACCUACUAUGGUUUUCUAGUAUACAGAAACAUUGCUCACAAUAGUUCUGCUUCUGCUCCCCCAACCCACCCAUUCCUGUCCCCACUCUUUUGGAGGUGAUGCAAGAAUUGGGGAUUUUCUUUUUUCUUUUUUAAGUUAAAUAGAAAAUUGUGUAAUGCACUUUAUAUUUAAUCCUGUCAUUACCCUUACUGACUCCUUUAUCCUUUCAUAUGGUUUUAAUUUACUAUUUAUGUAUUUUCAUUUGCUCCUGGAAAACUCCCUUGGUAUUUCUUAUAAAUAAGACUAGCUUAGUAAUAAACUCUGUUUUUGCAACUAUCUUAAUUUGUUCAGUUUGAAGACUAAUUUUGAUGGGCUCAGAGUUGCUGGUUGACAGUCUUCCUCUCAGAAUUCCAAAUCUGCCAUCUCACUGUUUUCGAGCCUCUGUGGGUUAAGAAAAUCAGCUGCUAACCUAACCAGGAUCUUGGUGCUGGAAGAGUCUUUUUCUUUUGUUAAGAGUCUGUCUUUCAGAAGUUAUUAUGUUUCUAGGUCUGGAUUGCUUUGAGUUUAUUCUCCUUGGAGUAUGCUGAACUUAUAUGUGUAGACUAAAAUCUUUAUUCCCAUUGAGAAAGUUUUCAAAUAUUUAAACACUACUGUUUCCUGCCCUUCCCUCCUCUCCUGUCCCUUGACUCCCAUCAUGAAGGUGUGGGACAUGGGCUCAGAUCCCAUUGGUCUCUGUGGCUUCGUUCAGGUUUUUUUCCUUUGCUAGUCAUUAUUCCUCUUCUUCAGAGCUCAGCUGGCUUACCUUCUGGUUCACUGGUUCUUCUGGCUGUUCAUCUGAUGAUGAGACUUUAGGGGAGAAUUUUAAUUUUAAUUGUUGUGCUCUUUUUUCAAUCCCAUAAUUUAUUUAUAAAUGAAUAAAAAAUUCUCAUCCUUCUUAAGAUUCUUUAUUCGGCAAGACACAAUGCUCAUAUUUUUUCCCAGUUUUCCUUUAGUCUUUGAACAUAUUUGAAGUUUACAGUUUUGUUUAGUCAUGCUGUGCCCACACUUGCCUGGGGACGACCUCAACUGUUUACUUUUGCCCCGUGUGUAGGCUACUUCAUUACAUUUUUUACACAUCUUGCUUUUUUUGUUGUUGUUGAAAACCAGAGCUUUUCUUUUUUUUUACAUUUAUUAUGUGUGUGCAUGCAGUGCUAAUGUGGAGGUCAGAGAGCAGAGAACUUUGGGUUGGUUCUCUCCUUAUACUAUGUAGAUGCUCAGGGAUGGAACUAAGACUAUCAGGCCUGGACAAAAGUCUUUACACACUAGGCCUUCUCAGCAACCUGCAAAGCAGACACUUGAUGUAAUGGAGGGGAAUCAAGGUUUGUUGAUAUUGCUGCUGUGUAAAAUAUUCUGAGCAUAGCACAGGACUUGAGCUAAUUGGUCUUCAAGCCCAAAGUUCUUCAGAGAGGACUUCCUACAUGCUGGUGUGGAACCCACAUCUCAGGAAAGCCCAUGGCUUGAGAUCCCAGUGUAUUGGAUGAUGAAUCCCUUUAAGGGUCCCCCAAUACCAUAGUAAGAUCUGCUCCAAUCCCUAAGGCCCUGCCAUCUAUAGCAUUUGGCUUGUUUCCUCAGAAUUACUAGAACAUGCUGAGCUCCAGAUGUCAAGUUCAAGGAUCCUGGUCCAUGCCUGGGCAACCUUCUCUGGAGAACUAACUGGACAAAUUGAAGCCAUCUUCUAGCCUCUUAAUUCAUGCUCAGAUCAAACAAGAAUGGUUCCUAAACUGCUUCAAGCUGAAAUGAUCAGUGCCUGGGACAGUAAUUAGCCAGGGUGUCAGAGAUGGCUGCGGCAGGUAAGGAGAAAAUAGAAAAGCUCAAGGGAAGCCAGGAGAAAGGAGCAAUGGCCAAGAGAGGUCUUUCCUAGGAAACAGCUCCUCUUCCUUUCCUGGUGAGGUUUAGGGCUAGCAGUGAGGUGAUAAGAACAGGGGUCUGUCAGAGGUGUCUCCGGCCAUUUCCAGACUGUACAGUUCAUCUGAGAGGAGCACAAAGACAACACUAAGGCCCUCCAACCCCCAACCCCUCCAGCUCUUCCAAGCUGUCCAUCUGUGCAAGAAGCUCCCAUGAAACGGCUCCUUAGGUACAGUGUUGUGACAAGAGUGUGGGAUUUGAAUGCUGCAGACCUGGGUUUAACUGCAGGCUUUGCCACUUCACCACUGUGGUGAGUUGGCCGAGUCGUUAAGAUUCUCUGAGCCUCUGUUUCUAUAUUGGUCAAAGAGGAUGUUAGCCUUUGGUUUGCAGGACAGUAGCAGGGGAUAGGAUUGCAUUUUUAAAGAGUGUGUCAUACAUGCUUGGUAAUUAGUAAGUACUUUUCUGGUCCAUCUUGUUAGCAGCCUUGGAAAAGAAGGAAGAACAAACCACUUCCUCUCUUCAUGUAGCCUUUCUCCACAGCCUUCUUCACCUUGUCUGCCUGAAAGCCUGGCUUAGGGUCCUUAUUAUGAGUUGUCAUAGCACCUUUAUCUUAUUACCUCCAUUUAGCUGAUAACUAGGGACUUAGCUGGGGAUUUGCAUGAUUAAUCCCUGUUUCUUGGAGUAACUUUAAAAAAAUGUUAUGCCUUUAAAAUUUUUUUAUAUAUUUACAUUUUCAAAUUACGUGUGUGUGUGUGUGUGUGUGUGUGUGUGUGUGUGUGUGUGUGUGUUUAUGAGAGAGAGAGAGAGAGAGAGAGAGAGAGAGAGAGAGAGAGAGAGAGAGAGAGAGAACAUAUAUGUGUGGAGGUCCAAGGACAGCUUGCAGGAGUUGGUUCCUAGGGAUCCAACUCAGGUCGUCAGGUUGAACAGCCUCACUAACCAAAAUCUUAGCUUAUAUUUCAAUUCUAUUCUUCCAUUAAAAGAAGCAAGUUCUGUUUGGGUGGAUCAAUGAUCUGUAGGUAAGAAAGAUUGGUAAAAGAAACUUGUUUGUCACUAUCCCCUCCAUAUCCUCUCUCCUCCCUCUUCGGCUGUCCAGCCAGGGUGCUUGAGGGCACUCUCUCCUGUAGCACGGGUUUCCCUGAGGGCACUCUUUCCUGUAGCACGGGUUUCCCUGAGCUCAGUCUGCAGCUUUGUGCUCUGUGUUCCUCCUUCAACUCAGCAGUCUUCUGUCCAGGAGGCUACUUGCCAUUUGAGGCAGAGUUCUUCCACAUUCCCCAUCUCUUUGCGACAGCAUCACCAAUAGAUGGGCUGGGAUGUUCUUUGAUUUGAGUUAGAGUCAGAACAGAAAAAGAAAGCUGAAGGAGGAGGUUUCUUGGAUAUAUUGGGAUCCCUAAUUUUUUCUUUUUGAAGUCCUAAACUGGGGACCUUGUACAUGCUAAGCAGGUGCUUAACCACUAACCUACAACCCCAGCCUUCCCGUGUAAGAGGAAUAUAGGCCCUCAUCUCUCUCCUCCCUCCAGCCCUUUAUCCUUCCCUCUCUCCCUUCUUCUCCCCACCCCUCUUUUUCUCUUUCCCCCUCCCCUCUCUCUUCAACGUUUUGAACACACUAAUGUAACCUAGACUGGCCUUGAACUUUUGAUCCUCCUGACUCAGUUUCUCAGUGCUGGGACUAUAGGCAUGCAUGGCCAUGCCCAGAUCCUAGUUGUCAUAUCCCUUUCCUCGUGGCCUUUGCUAUGUCUUCAGAUUUUUCCUCUCCUUAGAGAACAUGUUUCUCCUCGUACUUCCCCUGGCAACUUUGCAUUAUGACAUUUGCCCUUGCUUUGUAGGGUCCUUUUUCUUCAUUGUUUCUUCAUUGAGAAGGCUCUGAGUCCACUCUUCAUUUGCAGCACUGUCUCCCUGGAACUUAGUGUACUGCAGUGACUUAUCCAUAACCUCUUCGGAGCAGUCAUGGAGCUGAGUCUGGACCCUAGACAGAGCCAUGGGGAUCGGCCUGUGGGAUUUUCUGUGGUCUGUGGCAGCUGAGGUGGAGAGAGACAGCCACUCUGUGUUCAGUAGCUGGCAUGAGCUACUCUGCUCCCUCAGCAAUUCCAGGACAGUGGAGUCUGGCCACCCUCUGCCCUCAAGAAACUAAAAAGGAAACCCAAGGAAGAAAUGUGCUCUACUGGCAGAGAGGCCUGCCCUGGGAAAUGGGGACUUUCCUCCCGAGCUACAGUCACUACCCACCUCCACUAGCUUCAGAGCCUUCUGUAAGAGGCUGUGGGACACCCAUCAAUGUCCCCUCUACCCUCUUGCUGAGGCCCACAGUCUGCAGGAGGUUAACCUCAGGUCUCUUCCUAGUUGCUUCUGAUUCAUUUUCCUGCCUCUGGCCGGAUAGAGGUUUAGAGGUUUGGCUGGGCCCUACUGCUUCGAUCUCUAAGCUAUAGUUCUCGGCCCUGCCUGUGAAAUAGCAAUGGCCAGAAUGAAGGGUGUCUUACCCCCCCGACCCCCAGCAUUCUAUCAGUCUCACCCUCCAGCCAUAAAUCUCUAGUUACACAACAGGAGACUGCUCACCUCCAGGGGUAGAAGAACUCCAGCUCUGUCACUUAGCUUGCAGAACAGCCAGGCCCUGAUGGCCCAGUAUGCACCCAGAGGGUCACACUUAAAUCAUUGGGGUGUCUUGACAAUUCUGGCACCUGGAAUCUGAGCCUCACCCCGAGAUUCUGAUUGUGUAGAUAUAGGCCAGGGCUGGAAUCAGGAUUUUGGAGGUAACCCAGAUAAUUCUGCAUUAAGCCAGGGUACCUUUCAUCUAAAACUUUGUCUAUUAUAGUACUUGAAACAGGAAAGCCCCUGUUGUUCUGUUGUUGCAGUUUUGACCGGGGUGGGGUGUGUGUGUUGGGGGCAGGGUGGUGGUGGUGUUUGUGCCUAGCAGGACCUUGACCUGCUCUGGUCCACCUGGAUAGUUCUCCCAGGGAAGUCCAUAUCUGUGGUUUCCCUCUACAGGUCUAAUGCCUACGUGUAACUGCAGCUUCCCUUCCUACUAGGCUUGUUCACUUUCCAGGCUACCUAAAUACCUCAGCACCCUACUGGGCCUGCCAGUUCUCCCUCCCCUGGACAGCAGGGACCUGUGGUCCUAGAGAUAGAUUCCUCCUUUCAGACCCUUCAGGCCCUUGGAAAGAGCCCAACCAGCCAUUUUCCCAGGCUGGGCUGGGCUGGGCUGGGCUGGGCUUGAGGUGGCCGGGUGGGGGGGGAGCGGCCAGGCCUGAGGUUUGGCGGCUUUCUGUGCUUUUCCUAUUAACAGAUAUGCAGAUGAAUGCUUUUGAACACCAAUAGUACAGAAGGUUUUAGAAACAAGACUGAAGCCCAGAGAAAACCUAAUCAUACACCUUGAAAAAAAUCUUAGAGCUAGCUCCCUCCCACCGACUGUUGCUGCCCACGCCCCAAAAUCAACUUUUCCCAUGACUCACACGUGGCAGCUUGUGCACUUCUUUUAUUAUUAAAUAUAAAAGCAGCUUCCUAUUUUUUAAAUAGAUAUUUAAAUGACCUUAUAUAAAAUAAUUCACCACUUCCAAGUAUAAAAAAACGCAGUCUCACAGUUGGUGAGGCAGUGCUCCCUCUGGGCUUUCUUGGAGGGAAGAAGGGGUUCCUGUGCAGGGAAGCUCCAAAGGUGGGUUUGGGGCUCCUCCUGCUCUUAUGCAACCAGGCACCCACAAAGAGCCUCUUGCAAUGGGUUGGAUUUGCUCUUCUGUCUUUAAUAAUGUAUGUUUAAGAUGGAGGGGUAGGAGAAUGCCUUUUGUUUGUUUCUGUGUUUUUCUUCUAUUUAAAAAUACGUAUUUUCUAGUGUGGAAAUAGUCUGUAACUAGAAGGCUAAGUAAGCCCCACGGGAAAGUCUCCAGUGUCCUCACCCCCUCUGUUGUCUCAGGACAGGGCUGGUGGAGCCUAUAGACCACUCUCCUCCGGAUCCAUGGCCUGAAAGAUUAGCGACCCAGUAGCCAGGGAGGGCAGGAAAGGGGGGAGGCGGGGCAGCAGCAUAAAGAGACCAAGGAGCAAGUAAGAGCCCUGUCACCCAUGCCCAGGUCACCACAGACUAGCCUGGCUCAGGAAACAGAGCAUCAGAGCAGAGUUGGAAGUAAAUGACCCAUUUUUUUUUGAUCCCUCUCUAGACCUGGCUUGCUUGGCUAGAGAUGGCAGGGGGGGGGGUAGGUGAGACUGGGAAGGUAUCCUUCCCUACCAGAGUCAGGUCUGGAGAGCAAAGGCCAGAAGAGGGUGGGGCUGGAGCACAGAGCUCCAUACCCAGAGCUCAGGACCAGACAACCUGCUCAGCUCCAGGCUUCAGGCAGUAGGGGAAGGCAGCUGGCAAGGGACUGGAGUAUAGAGAUCAACUUCAAGCUUAGGGGUACACACAUAUUUUCAAGACCCAUUCUCAUUUAUAGCUCUGCCUGUGGCCUUUGUCUCUGUCUCCCCUUCUUCUCUCCCUUCCCCUAGUCACUUCCCUC